ensembl:snoRNA U8 U8 small nucleolar RNA
UUGUGGGGGGGGGAUCCUUUUCUGUUUUUCUUUUCAGGGUGCAAGACAGAACAUGAUUGUAGUUUGUACCAGUUCUAAUUGGCAUUUUGUAUAAUCACAACAUGUAACACCCUGGUUGCUCCUAUCUGAU